rnacentral:misc_RNA from 1 species
GUUUUAGCAGGAAAGAGAGGAAAGUUAGUUCCAUAACAAAAAAAGUGAACAGAUAUGAUUUAUGGGAAAUCAACUCCGUAGAAAUAUGACUGUGAUUAACAACAAAGUAACUUUUCUAUCAGAUGAUUGUAUUAAGUACCCUGAACAUUCAAAAUGAAAUUAUAGAAUUAUUUAUGGUUUGGUUAGGAUUCGGAAUCAAAGAUUGUUUAAGCCGUGGUGCAACUAGGGGCUAUUUCACAUCCAACAUAUGCUAUCUAAAAGCAAAAAGAACUAUUUGCUGCUGCUAACAGUUCAGCAAGGAAAUAUUUCAAGCAAAACAACAGUAGCUCCAGAUUCAAAUUUGCUUUACUGACAGACCAAAAAACAAAAUCCUGUAGGAAUUCAAACACUCAAAGGUAAAGUUACCUGAUU